UACGGAGGGGGCUAGCGUUGUUCGGAAUUACUGGGCGUAAAGCGCACGUAGGCGACUUUGCAAGUCAGAGGUGAAAGCCCGGGGCUCAACCCCGGAAUAGCCUUUGAGACUGCAUCGCUAGAAUUGUGGAGAGGUAAGUGGAAUUCCGAGUGUAGAGGUGAAAUUCGUAGAUAUUCGGAAGAACACCAGUGGCGAAGGCGACUUACUGGACACAUAUUGACGCUGAGGUGCGAAAGCGUGGGGAGCAAACAGG
rnacentral:rRNA from 1 species